UACGUAGGGGGCAAGCGUUGUCCGGAAUCAUUGGGCGUAAAGAGCGUGUAGGUGGCUCGGUAAGUCCGCUGUGAAAGUCCAGGGCUCAACCCUGGAAUGCCGGUGGAAACUGUCGAGCUAGAGUCCGGAAGAGGCGAGUGGAAUUCCUGGUGUAGCGGUGAAAUGCGCAGAUAUCAGGAGGAACACCGGUGGCGAAGGCGGAUCUCUGGGCCAUUACUGACGCUGAGGAGCGAAAGCGUGGGGAGCGAACAGG
rnacentral:rRNA from 1 species